rnacentral:lncRNA from 1 species
AAAAUCAAAUGUUUAAAUAAAUAAAUAUUGCAAUGGGCUCACAGUAAUUACUUCAUGUUUUAUCAAAUUGACUCAUGUCAUUCAAUAUGUCGUGUGGCUCCAACUCUAGAAUCACUAGGCUUCUCAACCCAUCAAGGACUAGUACAAUACUACCUGUAAGAAUAAUUUUAGAAAAAUAUAAGUUGAUAGCUUAGUGAGUAGAAGAGUUCAAAAAUAAUUAUACUUUCUCCUUUAAACAUUUUACCAAAUAUCAAGUUCAUAUCGUUUAAUAUUCACAUGAUAAACUCAUACAAUGAUAGCAAAAAAGUAAGACAUUCUUAUAACACUGUAAAUAUCAUCUCAUAAUCAUGAUAUAGUCUUCAGCUGAUAUCUAUACCAUCAUCUCAUUACAUCACAUGUGAUCCACCAAAAAUAUACCAUUUUACUAAAAUCUGAAAUUCCGCCCCUCAGGCCAAACACUUUUGUCACGGGCCUCUAGCCCUCUCCUGAAUGAAAGUGGGUCUCAUUAACUCUGGUAAUCAAUUUUAGAACAUGGUCAAGGCCCCUCAGUGAAUUAUAUGUACACGGUCACGACCCCUCAUCCCUAGUCAACCCCUUAGUGUAGUAUAGAAUACGGCCAAGGUGUCUUAGUGAAUUAGAAAAAAAUAUAUAAUCAUGGGUACUUUUCAGGUCGAUCUUAAUAUUACAUGUCUCACAUACCAAACACAAAUGUGUCAUAAAUGAUCUUUGAGAUUCCAAAUGUAUCAUAGUAAAAGAAAUUUUCAUAAUAAUCAUAUAAUCGCACACAUAAUUGCAUAUAAUUGCACGUACUUUGAUAAUAUACUUAAUUUAUAAAUACUUUAAAAAUAUUCAUAUUUUUUCACUCACAGAUCUAUGGACAGAAAUCUGGCUAAAUUGACGAAUCUUUCCAAACUUUCACAUCACUACCUGAAAUAACGGUAUAAUUACUCAAAUUAAAACUUGACAAUUAAAUUAAUACAUUCCACCACUUAACCCCUCAACUUCUAUAUUUACUCUUACAUCUCCAAUUCCCCAACUUUCAUUCUGUUUAUUAUUCAUCAACUAAACACCAUGCAUUAUCAAAUCCGUUAAAUUACUCAUACUUCCUUAAAAUCAAGAACUUAUACAUAUACAAGCCCUAUACAUAAUUUAUUUCAAUACAUAAACCUCAAUACUUGUCAUAUAACUUCAUUCAAGCCUUUAAAAAUAUGAAAAUAAGAGUUUUGACAAAAAAGUACUAAAAUGCCAUAAUAUUGAAAUCUGGCAGCAAAACCUUUGACAGAAUUAGCACUAUUCUGGGCAGAUUUUCAGAGGAACACCUAUGUGAGAUUUUGUCCAAAAAUUGCUUAUAAUAAUUACUUAAAAGGGAGAAAUCAACCUCAAUUCCUUAAUUUAAAUGCUUGACAUCAUAUAACCCCAAGAAAAUCAUUGAAUAAAUAUCUAUUUCAUAAACCCUAAAGAUUUCAUUAAAAUAUUUUCACUCACCUAUUGAAUACAAAGAGGAAUUGAGAAUACAAACUUGAAAAAUGGGCGGCUGCCUCUUCUUUCCUUUUUUUUCCCCUUUCUCCGUCUCUAGUCGUUCUCCCCUAUUCUUUGCGUAUUUUGGCCCAAGAAUGAGAAAAUUUGGUCUUUAUCUCUUAAUUUAAUGGGUAGCUUUGGAUUAAUUGCAAGCCAAGUCCCUCAAUCUUGAUUCAAUGUUACAUUUAGUUCUUACAUCCUCAAAAAUAGAAACUAGACCCCUAAUCUUCAUUCAACGUUACAUUUAGUUCUUACAUCCUCAAAAAUAGAAACUAGAUCCCUAGACUUCUUUUAUGACAUAUUUCUCUCCCUUGAAUACUUAUAAUUACAAUUUAUGUCCCAUAAAAAUUAUUUGUUCAACUUAAGUCCUUAUUGACUUUGACUUUGACCAAUUACUUUGUUUGACUUUGACUAAAAAUGGGUGGAGUGUAACAAUCUUACCCCUUUUAAAGAAUUUCGUUCUCGAAAUUCAAUCAGCUCAAAUUCGAACGUGUAAGAAUAAUGCAUGCAUGUAAUCAUCACUUGCUAUCAUACCUCUUCCAUUGGAUGAAUUUUUUUUUUCCAACAACUUUAAUGAGUCAUAGAAUUCAUUCUUUCCAAUCCUACUUCGAAUAACAUCCUAAGAACCAAUAUACGAUAUUCUCUAAUUUUCCUUUUACCAAACCUUAGGAAAACUCAAUUAUUUCAAUAACUUGAAGUUCAAGAUACUAUUUUUCAUGUUCUCUAAAUCUUCACCUUACGUCAUAAUUUAAACUAUUCUCUAAUCAAAUUCUUUUUCUGUAACAAUGGUUCACCGAGUAGAAGCUGGCAUUAACUUGGAACCCCAUGCAUCACUUAAAUUUUCACCAUUUCGAAUAAAAAUAUACCUUAAAUUCCGAUGAUAGUAAGUAUCAAUGUUUCUCACAAUGCGGUAACACCACAUUUCCUAAAUUCAACCUCAGUUUAAGCAACAAUAAAUCAUGCCUCUUCAACAAUCUACAGUAUCAUCCAUAAUUUAUAAGUUUACUUCAGAAUACUUUCUAAACCUUAACAUAAUCCAUUAUUAUAAAUCAAACCUUAAUUUGCUUUAGAUACAUGAGUAAAUAUUUUCGCAGAAUUUAAUCUGAUUACAAAACUUUUUACAUUUCUAAACCCACAAAAUUUUGAUGCUCUUUCUUUGUAUACUAAUGCAUAAGCCUUCUGGUAUAUCGUACAAAAACCUUUAAUUAAGAUUAUAACCCAAAGAUACUGUCUCACAAUUGAAUAAAAUUUACGUUCAAUGAUCAUUCUAAGUUCAAACUAUUCAACAUAUCAUCCAUAUAUUCCAUAGCAAAUAAAUCUCAAUAAAAAAUUAUACGUAAAAUCCAUAAAUACAAUCGAAAAUCACCCAAAAAUUACAUCACUAAAAUUUCAUUAAAUUCAUCUUAACUUCAAAAUUAAAGCUUCCUAAUUGUAUAUAAUACAACAUAAUCCAACAAACGGCCUUGACAAAACUAAUUAACUUUAAUAACCUAAAUAUUUCAUCACAUUAUUUUGCUACAGAACAUCCUGUACAUGCUAUUCACCAUAUCAUGUAGCCUUGUCAUUUAUCGUCAUAUUAUUUAACCUCAAACAUUUAAGUAUACCAAUUUCCCUUAAGAUCACAAAAUAAUAACCUUCCACACAUCAAUGUACCACCAAGAUUGCACAAGUUAAUUUUCCAAUCUCAAUAGAUUCCAACUCUACCUUUCUCUACUCCUUUUUAUUUCUCAAUUCCCAUAAACAUAUCUGAAUGCACAUGUCCAUUUAAUUCUAUUUUUUAAUCAACAAAUAACCAAAUAAUAAGUGAUCAUUAUGAAAUAUAUCCCUAUUUGUCUUAUAUCCCUUAUAAUCAAACAACUUAUAAGUAAUUAAAAUAGUUGGAAUCACCUAAAUGUUAAUUCCAUCGACGCUUAAGAUAUACAAUAACACAUUGUUAUCUAUCAAUCAACACAUCAUCAUUUUGGCUUCCACAAGCUCUUAUCAUGUAGCAUAAGCAUACACCAUCAUGAUUCUCUAUCAUCAUCCCAUACAAGUGCCCACACACCACCACAAAAUUUUGAUAGCGCCACUAAUCAUUUAGCUUCCCAAAAUAAUUAAAAUUUCUCACCUAAUUAUCACCAAUUACACACAUAAUAUCGUUUUUAUUGUUAUUAUAGUACAAGCUAGAGCUAGAGAUUUGCCAAGUGUAUAUUAAAAACCACAAAAUUCUACACAAAGAUUGGUACUUAAAUGGUUGUACCCUCUAUCACUUCGAAUGUCUAUAAGUAAAUAACCGGCAAUACCAUCAAGACUUUCACCUUCAAAUUAACAAUCUAUUCAACUCUUAAAAAGCUACAUAUGCCAUCAUUCCAACCCAACAACUAAUAACACUUUCAACCAUUAGAUCAUGUAACUGAUGUACUUACAUAUACUCAUUUUUGAAUCUGUUAAAAGUAUUCUUCUACCAUUUUAGGUUCCAAACAUUUGAGCUUGAGAACCUGUGAUUUUCCCCACCAAGACAUGUGACCUUACGCACUGAAUAUGCAUGAUAUGUCAAUUUAUGAACUACAAAGACUUUGAAAAUUUUAUAGGCCAUGCUCUGAUACCACUCUGACACAACCCGUCCCGAAUUACCCUAUGGACUCGAAACGUGAAGUGCGCCAAUAGAAGAUGCAGAUUAGAUGCUAGAUCCACCACCAAGGCUGACUAUGAGUUAUUACAAAAUAUACGACAAAACCAAUUGUUUAAAUAAAUAAAUAUUGCAAUGGGCCCACAGUAAUUACUUCAUGUCUUAUCAAAUUGACUCAUGCCAUUCAAUAUGUCAUGUGGCUCCAACUCUGAAAUCACUAGGCUCUUCAAGGACUAAUACAAUACUACCUGUAAGAAUAAUUUUAUAAAAAUAUGAGUUGAUAGCUUAGUGAGUGGAAGAGUUCAAAAAUAAUUAUACUUUCUCCUUUAAACAUUUUUACCAAAUAUCAAGUUCAUAUCUUUUAAUAUUUGCAUGAUAGACUCAUACAAUUAUAGCAAAAAAGUAAGAAAUUCUUAUAACAUUGUAAAAAUCAUCCAUGGGUUCACUCUUUCUAUAGCAGAAGAUCAAGUUACACACACAUCUGCUUAUAUAAGAAUAUACUUCAUAAGAGUGGAACUGAAUUCCACUAACCGCUUCUUGUUGACAAAGUUGCCCAAUUAAAUGAAUGUGUUUGCGUCCUCUCUUCUUAGUUUACGAUUAUCCCCGCUCUUCCAAGGAGGGGCUAUUCAUAUUAGACUACGGCCUCCAACUCUAAACAGAACCUUCCUUCCGCAAGGCAAAGCCAAUAUCUUUCAAUUUUAGUAGACAUCGGUACGAUUGUAGGAUGUUAUAACUCAUAAGGCAAUGAUGGGGGAGUACUAUUAACACCCAUCUCUUUCUCAUCAUAAUCACGAUAUAGUCAUCAGCUGAUAUAUAUACCAUUAUCUUAUCACAUCAUAUGUGAUCCAUAAAAAAUGUACUCUCUAACUAAAAUCUAAAAUCCACCCCUCAGGCCAAACACUUUCGCCAAGGGCCUUUGGCCCCCUCCUGAACGAAAGUGGGUCUCAUGACCUCUAGUAAUCAAUUCUAGAAUACGGCCAAGACCCCUCAGUGAACUAUAUGUACACGAGCAUGACCCCUACAUCCCUAGUCGACCCCUCAAUGUAGUAUAGAACACAACCAAUGCCCCUCAGUGAACUAGAAGAAAUAUAUAAUCAUGAGUACAUUCUAGGUCGAUCUCAAUAUUACCUGUCUCACAUACCAAACACAAAUGUGCCAUAAAUGAUCUUUAAGAUCCCACAUGUAUCAUAAUAAAAGAAAUUUUCAUAAUAAUUAGAUAAUAUACUUAAUUUAUAAAUAUGUGGAAAAAUAUUUAUAUAUUUCCACUCAAAGAUCUAUGGAUAGAAAUUUGGCUAAAUUGACGAAUCUUUUCAAGCUUUCACAUCACUACUUGAAAUAACGAUAUAAUUACUCAAAUUAAAACGUGACAAUUAAAUUAAUACAAUUCCACCACUUAACUCCUCAACUUCUAUAUUUACUCUUACAUCACAAAUUUCCCAACUUUCAUUCUCUUUAUUGAUUCAUCAACUAAACACCAUGCAUUAUCAAAUCCAUUAAAUUACUCACACUUCCUUAGAAUCAAUAACUUAUACAAGCCCUAUACAUAAUUUGUUCCAAUAUAUAAAUUUCAAUACUUGUCAUAUAACUUCAUUCAAGUCUUUAAAAAUCUGAAAAUAAGAGUUUUGACAAAAACAAUACUAAAAUCCCAUAAUAUUGAAAUUUGGCAGCAAAACCUUUGACAGAAUUAGCACUAUUCUGGGCAGAUUUUCAAAAGGAACACCUAUGUGGGAUUUUGUCCAAAAUUUGCUUAUAAUAAUUACUUAAAAAGGGAGAAAUCAACUUCAAUUCCUUAAUUUAAAUGCUUGACAUCAUAUAAUCCCAAGAAAAUCAAUGAAUAAAUAUAUAUUUCAUAAACCCUAAAGAUUUCAUUAAAAUAUUUUCACUCACCUAUUGAAUACAAAGAGGAAUUGAGAAUACAAACUUGAAAAAUGGGCGGC